AUGGUUGACUCUGAGUUUCUCCUUGAAACGCUUUCCGAUCCCGUCUUCCGUAAUCCAGCUGGCGAGAAGCGCAACAAGACUCCCGGGUCCUCUCCACCGCCUCCCGCCGCCACGCCGCGGGGGUGGCGUGGGUGCGCCGGACGCAGGCAGGUGGAUGGAAAGACACCCACGGACACACCUCCUCCCUGCGGGUCGCUCCCGGCUGUCUUUGUCCGCUCGCCUUUCCGCGGGGGCCGCGCGCUGCCGCGUCUGGCCGGCAGGUGGCGCGGUUGGUUCACGAAGAGCCACUGCCGGAGCGGGAAGGGAGCUUCCACCUCCUCGCUGUCGCCCUCCCGCUGGGACCCAGGCUCGGGAGAAAAACCCGGCCCUACCCUGGAGGGAGACAGAGGAGGGGCAGCCUGGCAGCCUGGGAGGAGGGAAGGUGGGAGGCCUCGUCAGCAAUCGGGGCCCCUUCAAACUUCCGGAGAAAUGUACCGGGACGCGUCGGGGGCCGGUCCCCCGGGCUGUCGGCUGCGUUGCCGUCGCUGGCCGGCGCUCAGGUGGCUGAACCGGCGGCCGGGGCAUCGGGGGACAGACCAGUCGUGCCUGCGUCCCCAGGAGGUCGGCAGGGACACCCACGGCGCCUCGGCAGAGGCAGCUGCGAGGAUUCCUGGGGGUCCUGUCUCCCACCACCAUCUCCGGGGGCGGCGAGAGCUGUGGGGACCCGGUCGAAGCAGGGGAGCGGUCGGAGCGCAGAGCUGCAGCAACCGCUCCCGGCGCCUCCGAGGUCCCACGGUGAUGUCUGUGCAGCCGCAGGUCCCCGCACUCGCACUUGAGCUCUUCGCUUCUCCCCCCGAGCCUGGACUUGCUGGGCCCGGUUCCAGGAUUCCCCCCGGGAAAGACACGGUUGCUUCCCCGCAGCCAAGGCCAUCUCGGGGCGUCUCGCCGCAGUGGGGAGUACUGUGCUGGGGCUGGAACGAGACCCACGGGGUGAGCGCCGGGAUGAGCUCAGAGGGGGCUUCUCGGUUGCUGGAAAGUCAUUCGUUCAGUCUCUGGGGACAGAGACUGAGCCCCUGCUUCCGGCCCGGCGCUGCACUAGACGUCGGGGACCGAUGA
rnacentral:lncRNA from 1 species